UCCAGCGAUAAUCGAGUGCUCGCUACGGAGAAAUUCAUUUUAGCGGCGGCAAACGAUUUGGCAGCUACGCCGCCACUAAACUCGGCCGCAAUGGAGGAGGCAGAUGAAGCGUUGCGUGACUUUGCGUUUGGAGCGUUGAGCGUUGAGCGAUUUGCUGUUUCUUCUGUGCUUGCGUUUAGAACAGCAGCGCGUUAUUGGACUCAAACGUCAAAGCGACUUUGGAAUUCCAGCGCUUUGGUCUCUACGCCUCGCUGUUGCUUGUUAUGAUGAUGAGCAUUGGUGUUGCUGAUGAUUGUUAUUUUAGGCCGCUAAGCUGUUUGAUGGCAACUGCUUGCUUGUUGGCGGCGGUUAAUUGCGUUGCUGUAACACAUACACACACACGCGUCACAAAAAUUAUAACACUAACACCAUGCAAGCACGAACAAAAACACUAAAACGACAAUUAGAAGUUGUUGUUGUUAUUAUAAUGCUUGAAUACACCACUAGACACACCGCUAACCACAAAUAUAAUGAUAUACAUAUAUGUAUGUAUGUAUGUAUGUACAUAUAUGUACCCGACAAGCGAUCUCACCAA